rnacentral:tRNA from 1 species
AAUUAAAUAGCUUAUAAAUUAAAGCAUUUGUUUUGAAAACUUAAAAAAGAAUAAUACUUCUAUUAAUUU